rnacentral:misc_RNA from 1 species
GUGAAUCAUCAAAUUUUUGAACGCAAAUUGCGCCUGUUUCUGAAGUCAUGUCUGUUUGAGUUCACCAUUUAACAAAUAAUUUGCAUUUUUGUGUGCACACGGUGAUGAGCUUUCCAAAAUUAUGUAUUAUUAUUUUUGGUGGCGCAUAAUAAACAGCGCGAUGCUUUUUUUCAGUUCGUGUGUAGUAAAAUUUGUUCUUGCUUGGGUUGAGAAAAGCGUGAUCGCGCAAUGGGUGGGGCGAGUCGACUAACCCUGCCCCAACGCCA